AUUUUUGAACCUGGAAUGGCAUAUGUCGCCCUCAGUCGCACAACUUCCCUGGAAGGACUUAAAAUCAUUGAUUUCGAUGAAAGUAAGAUCUACGCUGACGAAAACAUCAGAGCAGCUAUGGAAUCAAUGAGACCAGCAUCGUUUUUGCACACCAGACCGCUCUUGCAUUUUCAGUCUGGUCAUCAGGGUGCAACAUUAAGAAUUGUCCACCACAAUGUCGAAGGUCUUGUCUGUCACUCUGAGGACAUGAAACAACAUCAUGAACUCAUGUUGGCAGAUGUCUUAUGCCUAACGGAGACUCAUUUGUUUGGAUCUUCUGUUCCAGCUUCUUGCCAAAUAGAGGGCUAUUCUUUCUUUUCACGGAACAGACAUGUCUCCUACUCGAACAGAGUCGACAUUGCUACCAAAGAGGGAGGGGGAGUAGCGACUUACUGCCGGAGUCUUCUCCAACCGCAGGAACGUAGAUUUUUUAACCAGGUUACCGAUCUUGAAUUUAACGUCGUCAAAGUGGACACCCCAAUCAAAACCCUCAUCGCGACAGUUUACAGGCCUCCAAGUUAUGAUCUUAGAACAUUUUUAAGAAAUCUGACAAACCUCUUGGAUGGCCUGAAUUCAAUGGACAUUCAGCCCAUUGUCGUGUUAGGAGACUUCAAUGAGGACCUUAUUCCUCCAGGGAAAAAAGCCAUCAGUGAGUUGUUUAGAGCCAAAGGCUUUAUGCAACUCAUCUCUCAUCCAACCACAGAAAAACGUACUCUUCUUGACCACUUGUACAUCUCCAAUCCAGAAUACUGUGUCCAGUCGGGUGUCUUGCAGGCUUACUACAGCUACCACAAUCCCAUAUACUGUGUGUUGGCUUCAGUAUAAGCUGCAUCUACAGUGACUUGCAAAAAUAGUCAUGUUUCUUGAAAUUUUCCAUAUUUCAUCACAUUACAACCACAAAUGUGGAAAUACAGUGGAGAGAUCAAGUAUAUAAUAUACACUGUUGAUUUUUCCAGGUAUAUACUAAGUAAUACACACUUUUCAGUUUAUUUGCAAAAGAUUCAUUCAAUCAUGUAUAUUUUUAAGCCUCCCUAGUAGAGUCUAUUCUGGGGUCCUGGAAAAGAUGGUCCGUAAGGCCCUGGAGAAUGCAUAGGAGUUCAUCCAAACAAUCUACAUGUGUUUUAUGUACUCGCAGAAGGCUUUUGACAGUCUCCCUCUGGGAACCUUGCAGGGGGGGGAGGGUGGCGGGUUCUCUGGGAGUAUGGUGUCCAAGGUCUUUUGAUAUGGGCUGUAAGGUUUCUGUGUGAUUGGUGCUAGAGUCUAGUCUGCAUUGCUAGCAGUAAGUUGGACUCUUUUCUGCUGAGAGUUGGACUCCGCCAAGGAAACGAGCCUGACUCUGCUGGCAAUGCACACCAGACUCUGACAUCAGUCAUAAAGGGACCUAACAGCCCCUAUCACAGGGCCUGAUACCCCAUACUCCUGGAGAACCCCAGCAUGGUUCCCAGAGGGACACAGUCGAAUUCCUUCUCCAAGUCCACAAAACACAUGUAGAGAGGUUGGGUGAACUCCCAUGAACCCUCCAGGACUCUGCUGAGGUUAUAGAGCUGGUCCAGUGUUUUAUGACCAUGGUGAAAAUCACACUGUUCUUCUUGAGUCCUACCUUUGACUAUUUGACAGACCCUCCUCUCCAGGACCCCCAAAUAGACCUUGCCAGGGAGGCAUUACUCCCCACAAAUAUAUUUGUGGUUGUAAUGUGACAAUAUGGAACAGUUCAAGGGGUAUGAUUACUUUGUUAGCACUGUACAUCUUAAUCCCGAAUUCAUGACAGGAAAUUCUUGUUGGAGAAAAUGUUAAGAUCUCAUGUCAUUCUUAAUAUCACUUUAUCUAACGGCGGUUUCUUUCAUACAUGCAGCAAUCAGAAAGCAGUGUGGAUUAUAUUUUUUUAUCAUUGUUACAGAGGGUUUGAUAUGUAUUUAAUCAUUGUACACAUUUGUGAAUCAUGGUGUAGCUUGUGGAUUUUGUUGUAGGCAUAAAAAUAUUUUUGUACAGUUUGUGAAUCAUUUCGAUACUUAUUUAGCUCUGUAGAAAGGAGAAUUUAUAAUCAGGUUUUGUAUGCAUACAUGAAGGUUUGAGCUUUGAGAAUACGAAAGUGGCUGAUCUUGAAACACUUAUCGGUUCUCUGCAAGAGUAGUUGCUGGAAAUAUUGGACCAGGAAGCAGCAGAUAAAACAAUCAGUUACUACACGUAUAUUCUGUUCAUUUUUAAAUCAAAAUUAAUUCAAAUAGAUCUUCAAUCUGGCCCAGAGCAUUUUCCUUAUUUUUCUAAUCCGGUUACAGUAACUGUUAUCCUUCGAAUGAAUCUAAUUAUUUGCGAAACUCGUUCUUUAUUUUGUAGCAUUUAAUUAAAGCGCUCCUUGUUUUAUCUCUCCCCAAUCAACACUGUAGUUUUUACUGCUGCAGCCCCCUAGUGGUUACUUCACUACAAGGACAAAAGUUCAACUCACUUUUGUCCUAUUUGGCUCCCUCCACAUAGUCAGAAUUUGUCCUGUUUUGGUGGAAUUAACCCUUUUUUCUUCCAGUUUUAGUCUGUUUUUGCAGGUUAUUUUGCAGGUUGUUCCACACAGAAGCUAUCCUUGGAGGCUGCCAAGAAAAGAGAGAGGAAACGAGAACUGGAAGUUCAGCCCAUGAAAGUCCAGAACACUCUGGCCUACCUCAUGGACUUGGACCCACACCCAAUGAGAAGAUGGAGUUCUUGUUUCUUUAGAAAGUUUGUGAUGUGUAACUCAAGAUUGGACGCCGAAGAAGUUGGACAAACCGAAGACCUUUGAAGAAGGAGUUCUUUAUUGUCAUUGUUUAUAAUUGUAAAUAGUUUUUCUUGUAUGUAUGUAUGUAUGUAUAUAUUUAAAAUAGUUUUAUUUAUACUAUAGAGAGUGUAAUAUGUCAUGUUAGAUUAUAGUUUCAGUUCCUGUAUGUGUAUAUAGUUAUAGUUCCUGUAUGUGUAUAGUUAUAUAAGUUUUAUAUUUAUAACAAGUGAAACAUCAUGGCAAGGCAAUGAUGUUUCACUUGUGAGAGUAAAUCUGUCGGGCCUCACCUUGACACUCAGGCAACAACCCUGAGUGCCACAUGGCCAGACAGGACACAUGUAAAAUAAAAAACAUAGCAAAAUUUUUUAUUUAUAUUCUUUAAAUGUUGUAAUUUUAGUUCAUUGUAAA